rnacentral:rRNA from 1 species
GACGAACGCUGGCGGCGUGCCUAAUACAUGCCAGUAGAACGCUGAAGGAGGAGCUUGCUCUUCUGGAUGAGUUGCGAACGGGUGAGUAACGCGUAGGUAACCUGCCUGGUAGCGGGGGAUAACUAUUGGAAACGAUAGCUAAUACCGCAUAACAGUAGAUGUUGCAUGACAUUUGCUUAAAAGGUGCAAUUGCACCACUACCAGAUGGACCUGCGUUGUAUUAGCUAGUUGGUGGGGUAACGGCUCACCAAGGCGACGAUACAUAGCCGACCUGAGAGGGUGAUCGGCCACACUGGGACUGAGACACGGCCCAGACUCCUACGGGAGGCAGCAGUAGGGAAUCUUCGGCAAUGGACGGAAGUCUGACCGAGCAACGCCGCGUGAGUGAAGAAGGUUGUCGGAUCGUAAAGCUCUGUUGUAAGAGAAGAACGAGUGUGAGAGUGGAAAGUUCACACUGUGACGGUAUCUUACCAGAAAGGGACGGCUAACUACGUG